GUUUCUUCUUUCUUUGAUUUCUGGAGAUUUAAGCCACCAUUUGACGCACCGUUUCUUCCUACUUAAGGCCCAGAUUCUCCUCUCUAUUUCCCCCAAACGGCACAUCCCAAGAGCCCCCAGGCUGCUCGAAUUUUGCCUCGCAUGUCCGCAGUACCACCGCGGUAAAUCGUCGAUUGCGCAACGGCGACAUCUUCGUCCGUGAGCACGUCCGCGGGACAGUUUCCCGACGAACGACUGCGUGUGAACCAGUGUGAAAUCCCGGAGUAGAACUCACCAUCGAAUUCUCCAUCAUCGUCUUCAGCUCGGACGGCAAGCACCACCGCAACGCGACUACAUCGUCAAAGGAGUGCAACGCCACCAUCAGGAUCAUCCUUUUUCCUAUUGUGAUUGUGCUGAUUGCAACGAGUGUUUUUGCGAAGAGUGUACC